GAGUUUGAUCUUGGCUCAGAUUGAACGCUGGCGGCAGGCCUAACACAUGCAAGUCGAGCGGUAGAGAGAAGCUUGCUUCUCUUGAGAGCGGCGGACGGGUGAGUAAUGCCUAGGAAUCUGCCUGGUAGUGGGGGAUAACGCUCGGAAACGGACGCUAAUACCGCAUACGUCCUACGGGAGAAAGCAGGGGACCUUCGGGCCUUGCGCUAUCAGAUGAGCCUAGGUCGGAUUAGCUAGUUGGUGAGGUAAUGGCUCACCAAGGCGACGAUCCGUAACUGGUCUGAGAGGAUGAUCAGUCACACUGGAACUGAGACACGGUCCAGACUCCUACGGGAGGCAGCAGUGGGGAAUAUUGGACAAUGGGCGAAAGCCUGAUCCAGCCAUGCCGCGUGUGUGAAGAAGGUCUUCGGAUUGUAAAGCACUUUAAGUUGGGAGGAAGGGCAAUAAAUUAAUACUUUGCUGUUUUGACGUUACCGACAGAAUAAGCACCGGCUAACUCUGUGCCAGCCGCCGG
rnacentral:rRNA from 1 species